rnacentral:lncRNA from 1 species
GAUCGUGGACAAAGGAAGCUGUGAGAAGCUGCAGUCCGAGAUGAAGGAGCAAUUGGAGAAGGAGUCCAUCAAAGAUCCACAGGGCCAGUAUGCACUGUCCUACUUUCAUCAUUAACCAUGUGGCAUCGAAGCAAAGCUGAAUCACAAACCAGGAAAUAUCUGCCCUUGUAAGACUAAUCUCCAGAAGAAAGAAAAGUGAAACCUCCCAGAAUGCUCCGAUGGGAGGAGAGGGAAAGGAGAACUCAUCUCCCUAGAGAUAGAGGGGAGAAUGGAGCAAGAAGAGCUCACUCUGGAGGCCAGAUCAACUCCCAGGCAAUGGACGAGGAAGGAGAAGAGAAGAGAAAAUCACAAUAGAUGGGACACUGGAAGCUCUGCCUAUUGACCUGGCACUGUGG